rnacentral:rRNA from 1 species
AAUCAACGCUGGCGGCGUGCCUAACACAUGCAAGUCGAACGCGAAAGCCCCGCAAGGGGCAAGUAGAGUGGCAAACGGGUGAGUAACACGUGGGUGACCUGCCUUCGAGCGGGGGAUAAC